UAAUACGAAGGGGGCUAGCGUUGUUCGGAAUUACUGGGCGUAAAGCGUGCGCAGGCGGCCAUCCAAGUCAGUGGUGAAAGCCCGGAGCUCAACUCCGGAAUUGCCAUUGAAACUGUUCGGCUCGAGUACGAGAGAGGUGAGUGGAAUUCCCAGUGUAGAGGUGAAAUUCGUAGAUAUUGGGAAGAACACCGGUGGCGAAGGCGGCUCACUGGCUCGUAACUGACGCUCAUGCACGACAGCGUGGGGAUCAAACAGGAUUAGAUACCCUGGUAGUCCACGCCGUAAACUAUGAACGCUAGCCGUUAGGCAGCUUGCUGCUUAGUGGCGCAGCUAACGCAUUAAGCGUUCCGCCUGGGGAGUACGGCCGCAAGGUUG
rnacentral:rRNA from 1 species